AACGAACGCUGGCGGCAGGCCUAACACAUGCAAGUCGAGCGAACCCUUCGGGGUUAGCGGCGGACGGGUUAGUAACGCGUGGGAACGUGCCCAAAGGUACGGAAUAGCCUCGGGAAACUGAGAGUAAUACCGUAUGUGCCCCUCGGGGGAAAGAUUUAUCGCCUUUGGAUCGGCCCGCGUUGGAUUAGGUAGUUGGUGGGGUAAUGGCCUACCAAGCCGACGAUCCAUAGCUGGUUUGAGAGGAUGAUCAGCAACACUGGGACUGAGACACGGCCCAGACUCCUACAGGAGGCAGCAGUGGGGAAUCUUAGACAAUGGGGGAAACCCUGAUCUAGCCAUGCCGCGUGGACGAUGAAGGCCUUAGGGUUGUAAAGUCCUUUCAGCUGGGAAGAUAAUGACGGUACCAGCAGAAGAAGCCCCGGCUAACUCCGUGCCAGCCGCCGCCGUAAAAC
rnacentral:rRNA from 1 species